rnacentral:rRNA from 1 species
CGGGCCAAGUCCCUUGGAACAGGGCGCCCAAGAGGGUGAGAGCCCCGUACGCCCGGUCACCACCGCCUUGAGAAGCUCCUUCGACGAGUCGAGUUGUUUGGGAAUGCAGCUCUAAGCGGGAGGUAAAUUUCUUCUAAAGCUAAAUAUUGGCCAGAGACCGAUAGCGCACAAGUAGAGUGAUCGAAAGAUGAAAAGCACUUUGGAAAGAGAGUUAAAAAGCACGUGAAAUUGUUGAAAGGGAAGCUCUUGCUGUCAGACUUGUCGUGGUUGUUCAGCCGCCCCCCGGGGCGGUGUACUCUUCCGCGGCGGGCCAGCAUCAGCUCUGGCGGCCGGACAAAGGCCUUGGGAAUGUAGCCCCCCUCGGGGGGUGUUAUAGCCCGGGGCGUAAUGCGGCCAGCCGGGGCUGAGGGAAGCGUUUUUGCUAGGAUGCUGGCGUAAUGGCAGCAAGCGACCCGUCUUGAAACACGGACCAAGGAGUCUAACAUCUGUGCGAGUGUUUGGGUGUCAAACCCAUGCGCGUAAUGAAAGUGAACGGAGGUGGGAACCCCCUCGGGGUGCACCAUCGACCGAUCCUGAUGUUUUCGGAUGGAUUUGAGUAAGAGCAUAGCUGUUGGGACCCGAAAGAUGGUGAACUAUGCGUAGAUAGGGUGAAGCCAGAGGAAACUCUGGUGGAGGCUCGCAGCGGUUCUGACGUGCAAAUCGAUCGUCAAAUCUGCGUAUAGGUAAGCGAAAGACCCAUUUCUUUAGUGUACCUUAAUAUGAACUAUGCUAACACUCACGUGUCCAGGGGCGAAAGACUAAUCGAACCAUGAGAGACUACUAGGUGGUUAAGAGGCCGCGAGGGGGGUUUAGUGGUGGCGUCUAGCACGCCCCUCCUCCCCACGCCGGGCCUAGUCCUAGAGCUCCCCGAGUUCCUAGGGCUAUAUCGACAAACUGCGGGGACAUCCCCGAUUAGGGCCCCUCGGGCUACUAAGCCUCCGCUACACAUGCGGGGUGGCCGCGGCUAACGACCGUGGGUAUAGUAGGAACGUCCGGGGCCUUUAUAGGGACGAUCCGCAGCUGAGUCCCCGUCGCCCACGUGGCGGGUGACCCGGUUCACAGACUAAACGUCGAUAGGUGGUCCCCCUAACUUAACGGGGGCGACCGCUUGAGAUAUAGUCGAGACCGCGGCGGGAAAGCCGCGGCCCCCAGAACGGCGUACGCGAACCUAGGAGCUAGUAGCUGGUUCACGCCGAAGUUUCGUAAGUCUAAACCCCCCUUUCCCCCACAGAUUCGAGGGAGACGUACUAACAAACCCCUUAGCCUCAGGAUAGCAGUAACGUUUUCAGUUUUAUGAGGUAAAGCGAAUGAUUAGAAGCCUUGGGGGCGUAACGCCCUUAACUUAUUCUCAAACUUUAAAUAUGUAAGAAGUCCUUGUUGCUUAGUUGAACGGGGACAAUUGAAUGCACCGUUACUAGUGGGCCAUUUUUGGUAAGCAGAACUGGCGAUGCGGGAUGAACCGAACGCGGGGUUAAGGUGCCGGAAUGCACGCUCAUCAGACACCACAAAAGGUGUUAGUUCAUCUAGACAGCAGGACGGUGGCCAUGGAAGUCGGAAUCCGCUAAGGAGUGUGUAACAACUCACCUGCCGAAUGAACUAGCCCUGAAAAUGGAUGGCGCUCAAGCGUGCUACCAAUACCCCGCCGCCGGGGCAGGAACGAUGCCCCGGCGAGUAGGCGUGCGUGGGGGU